rnacentral:rRNA from 1 species
AUUGAACGCUGGCGGCAGGCCUAACACAUGCAAGUCGAACGAGUGGCGGACGGGUGGGAAAUAUCUGGAAAACUGCCUAAUGGAGGGGGAUAACUACUGGAAAGGGUGGCUAAUACCGCAUACCAUUGGAAGGGCCCAGAUGGGAUUAGCUAGUUGGUGGGGUAAAAGCCCACCUAGGCAACGAUCCCUAGCUGGUUUGAGAGGAUGACCAGCCACACUGGAACUGAGACACGGUCCAGACUCCUACGGGAGGCAGCAGUGGGGAAUAUUGCACAAUGGGGGAAAGCCUGAUGCAGCCAUGCCGCGUGUAUGAUGAAGGCCUUCGGGUUGUAAAGUACUUUCAGCAGGGAGGCGUUACCCGCAGAAUAAGCACCGGCUAACUCCGUGCCAGCAGCCGCGGUAAUUC